AUUGAACGCUGGCGGCAUGCUUUACACAUGCAAGUCGAACGGUAACAGGCCUUCGGGUGCUGACGAGUGGCGAACGGGCGAGUAAUGCAUCGGAACGUGCCCAGAGGUGGGGGAUAACGCAGCGAAAGCUGUGCUAAUACCGCAUGUGAUCUGAGGAUGAAAGCGGGGGACCAGGCAGCAAUGUUUGGCCUCGCGCCUUUGGAGCGGCCGAUGUCAGAUUAGGUAGUUGGGGGGGUAAAGGCCUACCAAGCCGACGAGCUGUAGCUGGUCUGAGAGGACGACCGGCCACACGGGAACUGAGACACGGCCCAGAUUCCUACGGGAGGCAGCAGUGGGGAAUUUUGGACAAGGGGCGAAGGCCUGAUCCAGCAAUGCCGCGGGCGGGAGGAAGGCUUUCGGGUUUUAAACCGCUUUUGUACGGAACGAAAAGUCUCUGGCUAAAACCUGGGGCUGAUGACGGUACCGUAAGAAUAAGCACCGGCUAACUACGUG
rnacentral:rRNA from 1 species